ACUGCAAAAAGAACAUUCCGCAAUGUUUAAUACACAAAGUUUCAACUUUAUUGUAAAGCAAAAAAAAAGGACAAUUUACCAUCAAAUACUUAACUCAACCGAUGAACAGUCACGGAGGAUGCAGCUGCAUUUCAAUCGCAAUACGAUUACCAGGCGAAACAUGCCUAACAGACAGCACGGCAAGUAUUCUGUCACCCAUGCGAAUUAUAUUCUAGUGCAGCAAGACACGUGACGAUUAUGUUCCAGAUGAGGAAGAACAGACGCGCAGUGAUUCGCGACACGCAGAGAAUUUGGCCAUUGAAGAGGCUGCCAGCAAAUAUCGCAUCAUGCAUAUCCCGAUCGAUGCCUAUUGGCUGCAGUGUUUUCUGAGCAAGAUCUUCAAGAGACCUUGGUGUCGCAAAGCCAGUCUGCCGAUAUACUUAAGAUACGCAUAAAGGCCGCCGCCGAUCUGGUCUGCUUUCCCAUAAAUAAGCGAUGCCAGCUCGCAGACAGCGACCCAGGACAUAAGCAAGGAUUCGUACUGGCGAUGUCAAGCGAUACUGUGAGACGAAAUUCGUAACAGCUUUCGUAUUCACAGAGCUGAAGGAUGAGGAUCGCCCGCUCUCCUAUACACAAAUGGCCCAUUGAACUAAACCAUGUCCAGUAAAUUCACCUUUUUUUACUGCGAAAGAUCGAGGAGGGCUGGCGGGUCGUUGUUCCCGGCAACCAAGACUAUACCUUGUCCAACAUAAGCGACUCCUACGUGGCCUGCGAUCAGAAGUAGAAGGACUACAAGGAUCAGGAGUCGAAGUGGCCGAUUUGCAAUCUGACAAUCAGACCGAGUCGGAUUAAUGCGUACGUUAAGAUUAGUAUACAUAAUAAAUACUACCAUUUUUGUACAAAUAUGAAUUGAACCAAGUUGUUGUACUAAUAAAACAUGUAGCA